GACGAACGCUGGCGGCGUGCCUAACACAUGCAAGUCGAGCGGAGUCGAUCGACGGAAGCCUUCGGGCGGAAGAUGGUUGACUUAGCGGCGGAUGGGUGAGUAACGCGUGGGCAACCUGCCUCGAAGACCGGGAUAACAGCCCGAAAGGGCUGCUAAUACCGGAUGUGGUCAAGGAUCCGCAUGGAUUUUUGAUUAAAGGGGAAACCCGUUUCGAGAUGGGCCCGCGUCCUAUCAGCUAGUUGGUGAGGUAAAAGCUCACCAAGGCGACGACGGGUAGCCGGCCUGAGAGGGUGACCGGCCACACUGGAACUGAGACACGGUCCAGACUCCUACGGGGGGCAGCAGUGGGGAAUCUUCCACAAUGGGCGAAAGCCUGAUGGAGCGACGCCGCGUGAGCGAAGAAGGCCUGGGUUGUAAGCUACUGUCUGGAGGGACGAAGGAAGUGACGGUACCUCCGGAGGAACGCCGACGGACGUAACGUAACGUGACCACGCGACGCCGACGGUAACGAUACACGUAGUA
rnacentral:rRNA from 1 species